rnacentral:lncRNA from 1 species
ACUCCCCAACAAUAGCCACUCUAUAUGCUCAUAGACUUGCCUCUCAACAACAAACUCUAACACAAUCUGAAGUAACCUCACCACUCCAAACUUCACUUCCACCACAACAAACAACUACUCUACCCUCUGAAAUUCAACCAUCUGAUCCCCACACCUCUGAUAUCACCCCACCAAAAAUUCCCGCUGUACCUGAAGUAGACUCUAACCCUUUAGACCUAAAUCCUCUUUAUGCUUCAUCUCCU